GGGGGGGGCAUUUUUGACAACAAAAAAAGAAAAACAAACCUAACCCUAGAAAAUUAAUCUCUUCUUCUGGCAUCCGGCCGCCCCCCUCCCCCCUUUUGGCUGAAUUUGGGGAUUUUUAGUUUUGUUCUCCCCAGCCGGCCACGACAGCAUCAUCUUCUCCCUUUUCUCCACGCCAUUUCACCAUUUUCCUUCCCCUCUCCACAGCUGCUCCCCACUCAAUUUUCCUCCACACAAGCCGUUGCUCCCCUCUCACAAGUUUUUCCUUCGGUUUCUCCUUCCCUUCAGCCUCCUCCCUCUACACCAGCCAAACCAAGGAGGAUACAACUGCCAACUCCUGCCCCAAAAAAGCAGAACCGGCCACUCCCCAGCUUUGAUUUCUCACACCCAGCCGCCGCUGGAACCUUCCCCUCUCUCGGCCACUCACUUCUCUCCGUCAAAAUCAGAGGCCGGCUGCUGUUCCUUUCUUCCCCAGACCGAACACGGCGGCAGCCCCAACUGCCUUCUUCUUAGCCGUCUCCAGAUCCUCCCCCAGCGGUGGCAGCAGCAGCAGCAUCGCCAACAGGCGUGGAGCAGUCCGCCUUCUCCCUUCACCACGACAACCGAAGACCAGCAGCAGCAAACCCAUUACCUCCUUCGGCUGAGCAGCGCCGUCCACACCGUCACCCACAGAUCCAUCUCCUCCUACAACCGACCGAGACAGAGGAGGAAAAACCCAAAGGAAAGCAGAUCUGUAGAGACAAAAAAGGGACCCAAAACGGAGAAGAAAUUAACUGCCAUCUGUUGUGUUGUUGCGUUUUGUUUUGUUUUGCAGGUGACAGUGGCUAUCAACGCCGGCGAGGAAUGGAAGGGAAGAAAAGGCUGAGCCAGAUCUUGUUGUUUCCAGUUUUUCCGGGCGGACUAUUUUGUAAAUUUGAAUUAUUUAAUGUAAUUUUUAUUUAAUUUUGAAUUUUCGUAAUUUGUAUUGUGGAUGUAAAAAAAAAGAGAAAAAGAAAAAAGAAGAAAAGCAAAAAACAAAAAAACAAAAAAACAAAAUAAAAAUAAAAAAUGCAUGUUUGUAUUUAUUUCAGGGAUCUUUUUAUAAGGAGACGACAAAAGAAUAAAGAAGGAUUUAAUAUUUUGAUUGGAUCACGGUGUAGAAAUACAAACUUGUACGAAAGUUGUAUUUCUAAAUUCCGAUGAAAAGACAAUUUUUAGAACUUCUUUAACACAUCACAGCCACGAAGCAGCUUACCUCAGGUAGGGUGUGUUAGGGGUGCUAAUACCUUCCCUAACCACAAUCAGUCCCUUACCCGCGAAUCUCUGACAAGACCAGUCAACCUGGGUUUCCUAGUAACCCUCAAUUAAAUACUAGGUGGCGACUCUCAACAAAAUCAAUUCCAAUAACAGAGAGAAAAACCGCCAUCGCCAGGAGCGGACGCCGCGCAGGAUUUUUCCGACGUGCGAUAGAAUGGCGACUCCACUGGGGAGGUACUGUUUCUGACAAUAUUAGACUAAGCUUUGUGUAUUUGAUGUGUUUAAGUUUUGCCAUUUUUUUCUUGUUUUAUAUUAUCCAUGCAUUUUUAGAAGUGUUUCAUGUAUCACUUGUAUUUAUUUUUGAAAGCACACACAAGCUUCUAAGCUAGGUGGGGAGUAGCGGUCUGCCCCAUGACUUUCAGUCGGGGUUCAGAUUUGUGAAACAUCCAACUAUGAGCUGAGUGUUUACUCGGUAAUGGCGGUCACAGGGUGCCCCAACCAUUCCUUGUAAACUCCUAUACUGCUUUCACGAGAGGUGGUCACUAGGCAGCUCAUAGACCCUUUUGAGACCAGGUAGAAAACCCACCCAUGUUCACAUAAUGAAUAGAACCUGUCCUGAGGUUGUAUGUGCUAUCAUUUAUUUGCAUCGGGGCGAACCCUUCUUGAAGCAUCUUGAAUUCAAGACUUGUGGGUGAUAGAAUGAUCAUCACUCCAAAAAUUUUCAUUGUAGAGUUUGAGCAAGAAUCAAUAUUCUUGUUUCAUCAUACAAAAGUGACGAUCAUACGUCACCCCUCGAAGGGCAAGUUCAUCAUAUAGAUUGCAUGUUCAUACAUUUUGUCCUGCAUGCACCAGAAUGAAAAGUAGGUCCCCUCCGAGGCUACAACACCUAAUUUUGAGCAAGAAAACAUUGGAGAUAAAGAACGUGCUCUCCGCAGCAUCCAUUUUCAAAAAGAGUUGGAGUCUCUAAAUAAAAGCUUGACUCACCUCUAGCUUACUCGAGCAAAUAUCAAAAAAUAUCUCUAGGGAAAUUCCUUCCAAUUGACCUGACAUCUUUGUUCAAACCCCAACAACAACUCAACCCAAAGAAAUAGGGGGCCAACAUAGUCAAGAGCCUCAACACAAUCUGAAGGGGAAUUGCACCACCAUUGCAGAAUGGAGCCUGUUCUUGUUCUGCCCAAAAAAAAAAAAAAAUACCUCUACUUGAUCAUGCCUGCAAAAAACUUCUUGAUUUUUUCAACCUAUUCCAGUUUUUGUUGGUAAUUUGGCUCAAAAUACCACAAGACUUUCUCUGUCAAAUGAGCCUUUCCUGUUAAUAAAAUCAUGUGUUUUCUUUUUUUUUUUGUGUUCAUGCAAAUAACAUACUGAGCACACCUUUGUACUUACAAAACCACUGCACCAAGAAUUCUUUGGUUUUUUUCCCCAAAACAACAAACAUGAUCCCAUGUUCUCACAAGGAUUUUUGGGAAAUCAAAGUUUAGUACAAAAAGAGAAAUCAUAUUGGUGUUUGUUCAAACAAACAAGUUCUGGAAAUUCAGGUGAUUCCUUAGAGAGGUAACCAUACACCUAAAACACACAAAAAAACACCAUGAAGUGACUCCAAAAGCGGAGUUUUAUUUGCAUGAAUAAUGAGAAAUCACUCUGCAUACUCGCAUGAAAGCAAGGCUUACCGAUCCUAAAUGCAUGCAUUUGAGAUGAAGAAAGGCCAUCUUUGAUAAUCCUUUCACAAGGCUGAAAUAUAUCCUUUGCAGUCCCCUUUUGAGCCUAAUAAAUUUUUCUUGAAAAAUAACCUUGGCUAGGAUCACACCCUACACUGGGGGGGCAAGUGCCAAAAAAUCCUCAACGAUUGAAAGUGCCCAAACAAUACUGGGGGGCAUAAAAGAAAAUUCUCAAUCAUCGAAGGUGCCCAUACAAAGCUAGGGGGCAUAAAAAAAUCCAAAGGAUCCAAAAUUCUGAGCAUAAAAAAAAAAAAGUCAAUGCAAUGAUGCUCAAGACCAAAUGAAGAAAACAAAAAAAAUGAGAAAGAGCCCAAGCCCAACAUUGGGGGGCACCGUGGACCAUUUUACAAAUCAAUUCCAAGGUCCAGAAAUGUAUGAGCAAAAAUGUUUGGGAUACAAGCACUAGUGAUCCUUAGUCUUAAAGUCCUUUAAACACAUGUUGAGCCUACGAAAGUCCUUUUUCUUCAUAGCCAAGAGCCAAAGCCUACAUAACGUGCCUAAUCAAGCCUUUUCUGAUCAAAGGCAAGCAAUCUGGAUUGGUAGGCAAUGCUUUCUCGUGCGAAACAAAAUCAUUAUUCAUGCAAAUAAAAUGAAUGCUUUGAAGACGGUUCUCAAAAACCCUCAAAUUGAAAUUUAAACCUUUUUGUGACCAACCAGAUGUCACUUCGUGUUCUUCACAUUUUCGUCGAAACACGGUUCUCAAAAACCCUCAAAUUGAAAUUUAAACCUUUUUGUGACCAACCAGAUGUCACUUCGUGUUCUUCACAUUUUCGUCGAAACACGGUUCUCAAAAACCCUCAAAUUGAAAUUUAAACCUUUUUGUGACCCGCCAGAUGUCACUUCGUGUUCUUCACAUUUUCGUCGAAACACGGUUCUCAAAAACCCUCAAAUUGAAAUUUAAACCUUUUUGUGACCCGCCAGAUGUCACUUCGUGUUCUUCACAUUUUCGUCGAAACACGGUUCUCAAUAACCCUCAAAUUGAUAUUUCAACCUUUUAUGACCCGCCAGAUGUCACUUUGUGUUUUUCACAUUUUCGUCGAAACACAGUUCUCAAUAACCCUCAAAUUGAUAUUUCAACCUUUUGUGACCAACCAAAUGUCACUUCACAUUUUCACCAAAAUCAAAACAAAAAGUUUUCAUCACUUCUGAAAACCUCUCCAUAGGAAUCACUUGAAUUUCUUCAGAAUGAGUCUGCUUUGAAUCGAUGUCAAAAUGAUUUCUGUUUGAGGAAUAGCUUUGAAAUUCCAAAAGUUCUGCAUGAAAACAACUCCUUGUCAAAAACCAAACCUUCUUUCAUAUAGCCUCAUCCCCAAACCUAAUUUGAAUACUUGCGGGCAUGAUCAAGCUAGGGGGCAAUCAAAAACAUCUGGUAGAGCUGGCUCCAUGAUUCCUUUUCUAAGAAACUAUUGGGCAAAAUUGGCAACUCUUGAGAUAAAGGGGCGGAGGACAAAGAAGUAUGAUGAUAUCAAGUCUUUCCCAGGGGUCAAUAUCACAAGAGAUGACUCGAGUAAGCAAGAGCGAAAAGAGCCAUCGAAGCUUACUAUCAGAGACUCAAACUUUUGAGAAAAUGAGGACUCCAUGAAGAAAAGAGAACUCCAUGUAGAAAAGGGAACUCCAUGAAGAAAGGGGACCUACAUUUCUCAGGUAAGUAUACAUGCAUAUUGAUCAUGAUACAUUGCUUUCAUCCUUGACAUAUCAGUGUCUCACCAUCACCUUUUUGAGUGGGCCUUCGAGCCCUCACACCUUAGGUAGUGUGUUUUCUAACCCUGCCUCCAUUUUUGAGUGGGCUUUCGAGCCCUCACACCUUAGAUAGAAUGCUUUCUAGCCCUAUCUAUCUUCUUUUUUAGUGGGCUUUCGAGCCCUCACAUCUUAGGUAGUGUGUUUUCUAGCCCUAUCUGCCUCCUUUUAAGUGGGCCUUCGAGCCCUCACACCUUAGGUAGAGUGUUUUCUAACCCUGCCUCCCUUUUUGAGUGGGCCUUCGAGCCUUCACACCUUAGGUAGUGUGUUUUCUAACCCUGCCUCCAUUUUUGAGUGGGCUUUCGAGCCCUCACACCUUAGAUAGUAUGCUUUCUAGCCCUAUCUGCCUCCAUUUUUGAGUGGGCUUUCGAGCCCUCACACCUUAGAUAGUAUGCUUUCUAGCCCUAUCUACCUUCUUUUUGAGUGGGCCUUCGAGCCCUCACACCUUAGGUAGUGUGUUUUCUAACCCUGCCUCCAUUUUUAAGUGGGCUUUUGAGCCCUCACACCUUAGAUAGUAUGCUUUCUAGCCCUAUCUACCUUCUUUUUGAGUGGGCUUUCGAGCCCUCACACCUUAGAUAGAAUGCUUUCUAGCCCUAUCUGCCUCCUUUUAAAUGGGCCUUCGAGCCCUCACACCUUAGGUAGAGUGUUUUCUAACCCUGCCUCCCUUUUUGAGUGGGCCUUCGAGCCUUCACACCUUAGGUAGUGUGUUUUCUAACCCUGCCUCUAUUUUUGAGUGGGCUUUCGAGCCCUCACAUCUUAGGUAGUGUGCUUUCUAGCCCUAUCUACCUUCUUUUUGAGUGGGCCUUCGAGCCCUCACACCUUAGGUAGUGUGUUUUCUAACCCUGCCUCCAUUUUUGAAUGGGCUUUCGAGCCCUCACACUUUAGAUAGUAUGCUUUCUAGCCCUAUCUGCCUCUUCUUUAGUGCGCCUUCGAGCCAUCAACCACCUUAGGUAGUGUGUUUCCUAACUCUGCCUCCUUUUUAGUGCGCCUUAGGGCCAUCAACCACCUUAGGUAGUGUGUUUCCUAACCCUGCCUCCUUUUUAGUGCGCCUUAGGGCCAGCAACCAUCUUAGGUAGUGUGUUUCCUAACCCUGCCUCCUUCUUAGUGUGCCUUAGGGCCAGCAACCAUCUUAGGUAGUGUGUUUUCUAACCCUGCCUCCUUCUUAGUGCGCCUUAGGGCCAUCAACCAUCUUAGGUAGUGUGUUUUCUAACCCUGCCUCCUUCUUAGUGCGCCUUAGGGCCAGCAACCAUCUUAGGUAGUGUGUUUUCUAACCCUGCCUCCUUCUUAGUGCGCCUUAGGGCCAUCAACCAUCUUAGGUAGUGUGUUUUCUAACCCUGCCUCCUUUUUAAUGCGCCUUAGAGCCAACAACCAUCUUAGGUAGUGUGUUUUCCAACCAUGCCUCCUUUUUAGUCUGCCUUCAAGCCACCAACUAUCUUAGGUAGUGUGUUUCCUAACCCUGCCUCCCUUUUGAGUGCGCCUUAAAGCCAACAACCAUCUUAGGUAGUGUGUUUUCCAACCCUGCCUCCUUCUUUAGGGCGUCUUCGAGCCACCAACCACCUUAGGUAGUGUGUUUCCUAACCCUGCCUCCUUUUUAGUGCGCCUUAGGGCCAUCAACCAUCUUAGGUAGUGUGUUUUCGAACCCUGCCUCCUUUUUAGUACGCCUUCGAGCCACCAACCNNNNNNNNNNNNNNNNNNNNNNNNNNNNNNNNNNNNNNNNNNNNNNNNNNNNNNNNNNNNNNNNNNNNNNNNNNNNNNNNNNNNNNNNNNNNNNNNNNNNUUUCUAACCCUGCCUCUUUUUAAGUGCGCCUUAGGCCAUUUAACCAUCUUAGGUAGUGUGUUUUCCAACCCUGCCUCUUUUUAAGUGCACCUUCGAGUCAUCAAUCACCUUAGGUAGUGUGUUUUCUAACCCUGCCUCCUCUUUUGAAUGUGCCUUCGAGCCCUCACCUUUUAGAGCGUUGUCCAACCCUGCCUCUUUUUAAGAGCUCCUUCGAGUCCUAACCUUUUAGGUAGUGUGUCUUUCUAACCCUACCCCCUUUCGAGUGCGCUUUCUAACCCUCAAGAGGAUUCAUCAUUCCUCAACAAGAUGAGUCAAUCAUAUCUCAUCCUUUUUUUCUUCUUUACAACGCUUACUAUUUAAAGUCUCUUACGAGACUUUCUACCAUAAGCAUUGUAAAGAGGGGGGCAACUGUCAUCACCCAAUUUUGGGUGAUUCCCCAAAAUUCACUUUUUUUUAAAAUAAAAAUCAAAAAAAUAAAAUAAAGGCUGGCAAUGCGGAGAAAGCCGACCAAGAAAGGCUGCAAAAUAGGCGAAAAUCAAGCUGCAAUUUUUGGAAGAAUUUCAAGGCCCAAGUGUACGCUGUUAUGCCCAAAAAUAGAAAAAUACAAAUUCAAAGGUCAAAUUAAAUGAUUAUUGGAUGAAUUUGCAUAAGAAUUAAGUCCAAUGACAUAAUUAAAUUUUUAAUGGGCCAAUUUGAUUUAAUCAUGGGCCAAAUUGAAUUUUAAUUAUGUUCAAGAAUUAAUUUGGGUCCAAUUGAAGGAUUUAAUUAAGUGCAAGGACUUAAUUAUACUUUAAGCGGGUCAAAUUAAUUUGAGGGCUUAAUUGGUGAAAAAUUAAGUUUGGGAGCUUAAUUUGGACUUAAUUGAAAAAUCAGAAUUUUAAGAUACCCAAUUUAAUUUUUACCAAGUGAAUCGAUGNNNNNNNNNNNNNNNNNNNNNNNNNNNNNNNNNNNNNNNNNNNNNNNNNNNNNNNNNNNNNNNNNNNNNNNNNNNNNNNNNNNNNNNNNNNNNNNNNNNNGUACCAAAAAAGAAAACAAACUAACCCUAGAAAAUUAUCUCUUCUUCUGGCAUCCGGCCGCCCCCCUCCCCCCUUUUGGCUGAAUUUGGGGAUUUUUAGUUUUGUUCUCCCCAGCCGGCCACGGCAGCAUCAUCUUCUCCCUUUUCUCCACGCCAUUUCACCAUUUUCCUUCCCCUCUCCACAGCUGCUCCCCACUCCAUUUUCCUCCACACAAGCCGCUGCUCCCCUCUCACAAGUUUUUCCUUCGGUUUCUCCUUCCCUUCAGCCUCCUCCCUCUACACCAGCCAAACCAAGGAGGAUACAACCGCCAACUCCUGCCCCAAAAAAGCAGAACCGGCCACUCCCCAGCUUUGAUUUCUCACACCCAGCCGCCGCUGGAACCUUCCCCUCUCUCGGCCACUCACUUCUCUCCGUCAAAAUCAGAGGCUGGCUGCUGUUCCUUUCUUCCCCAGACCGAACACGGCGGCAGCCCCAACUGCCUUCUUCUUAGCCGUCUUCAGAUCCUCCCCCAGCGGUGGCAGCAGCAGCAGCAUCGCCAACAGGCGUGGAGCAGUCUGCCUUCUCCCUUCACCACGACAACCGAAGACCAGCAGCAGCAAACCCAUUACCUCCUUCGGCUGAGCAGCGCCGUCCACACCGUCACCCACAGAUCCAUCUCCUCCUACAACCGACCGAGACAGAGGAGGAAAAACCCAAAGGAAAGCAGAUCUGUAGAGACAAAAAAGGGACCCAAAACGGAGAAGAAAUUAACUGCCAUCUGUUGUGUUGUUGCGUUUUGUUUUGUUUUGCAGGUGACAGUGGCUAUCAACGCCGGCGAGGAAUGGAAGGGAAGAAAAGGCUGAGCCAGAUCUUGUUGUUUCCAGUUUUUCCGGGCGGCGCGUGAACCCACGCGCCGCCAGUGGCGGUGGCGCGUUGGACACGCGCCGCCACUGUUCCUGCACACCAUUCCUGCACUUCCAGAGGGUUCCCUUGCAAUUUCUGGAGUUUUGGGGACUAUUUUGUAAAUUUGAAUUAUUUAAUGUAAUUUUUAUUUAAUUUUGAAUUUUUGUAAUUUGUAUUGUGGAUGUAAAAAAAAAAGAGAAAAAGAAAAAAGAAGAAAAGCAAAAAACAAAAAAACAAAAAAACAAAAUAAAAAUAAAAAUGCAUGUUUGUAUUUAUUUCAGGGAUCUUUUUAUAAGGAGACGACAAAAGAAUAAAGAAGGAUUUAAUAUUUUGAUUGGAUCACGGUGUAGAAAUACAAACUUGUACGAAAGUUGUAUUUCUAAAUUCCGAUGAAAAGACAAUUUUUAGAACUUCUUUAACAC
rnacentral:lncRNA from 1 species